rnacentral:tRNA from 1 species
CUUUAAUAGCUUAUUUAUAGAGCAUGAUAUUGAAGAUAUCAAGGAGAUUAUUAUUAAUCUUGAGGUAU